rnacentral:rRNA from 1 species
GGGUUACAAGGGGGCGAAAGCCUGACGGAGCAACGCCGCGUGAGGGAUGAAGGCCUCUGGGCUGUAAACCUCUUUUAUCAAGGAAGAAGAUCUGACGGUACUUGAUGAAUAAGCCACGGCUAAUUCCGUGCCAGCAGCCGCGGUAAUACGGGAGUGGCAAGCGUUAUCCGGAAUUAUUGGGCGUAAAGCGUCCGCAGGCGGCCCUUCAAGUCUGCUGUUAAAAAGUGGAGCUUAACUCCAUCAUGGCAGUGGAAACUGUUGGGCUUGAGUGUGGUAGGGGCAGAGGGAAUUCCCGGUGUAGCGGUGAAAUGCGUAGAUAUCGGGAAGAACACCAGUGGCGAAGGCGCUCUGCUGGGCCAUCACUGACGCUCAUGGACGAAAGCCAGGGGAGCGAAAGGGAUUAGAUACCCCUGUAGUCCUGGCCGUAAACGAUGAACACUAGGUGUCGGGGGAAUCGACCCCCUCGGUGUCGUAGCCAACGCGUUAAGUGUUCCGCCUGGGGAGUACGCACGCAAGUGUGAAACUCAAAGGAAUUGACGGAU